rnacentral:rRNA from 1 species
AUUCAGCUGUCUGAUGAACUAGACAUCUUUCGAUGGAAUUUGCAUCAGAAUGGCAAGUUUACAGUCAAAUCCAUGUAUGAUGCAAUGGUUCAUUGUGAUGUUCCGGUUGAUAACAGGAAAUUGUGGAAGCUUAAAAUCCCUCUAAGAGUGAAGAUAUUCCUCUGGUUCCUAAACAGAGGGGUCAUCUUAACUAGAGAUAACCUGGCACGACGCAACUGGCAAGGCAGCAAGGCGUGUGUCUUUUGCCAACAUGACGAGUCUAUUAAGCACUUAUUUUUUGAGUGUAAGUUCGCUCGGGCGGUUUGGGCCAUAGUUCAAGUAGCUUCAAAUUUAUACCCACCACGUAGUGCUCGUAACAUGUUCGGCAAUUGGUUGAGGGGUAUUGAUAAACAAUUUUCUGCACAUAUUCUUGUGGGGGCGGCUGCCUUAUGCUGGGCAUUGUGGCUUACCAGGAAUGAUGUGUUUUUUAAUAAAAAUGUGUUUCAUCUCCUAUGCAGGUUAUUCAUGUAUGUACGCGAUGGCUCCGUACAUGGUCUAUCCUGUAAGGGCCGGAGGACAGGGACCUUUUUAUGA